rnacentral:rRNA from 1 species
UGGCUCAGAUUGAACGCUGGCGGCAGGCCUAACACAUGCAAGUCGAGCGGUAGAGAGAAGCUUGCUUCUCUUGAGAGCGGCGGACGGGUGAGUAAUGCCUAGGAAUCUGCCUGGUAGUGGGGGAUAACGUUCGGAAACGAACGCUAAUACCGCAUACGUCCUACGGGAGAAAGCAGGGGACCUUCGGGCCUUGCGCUAUCAGAUGAGCCUAGGUCGGAUUAGCUAGUUGGUGAGGUAAUGGCUCACCAAGGCGACGAUCCGUAACUGGUCUGAGAGGAUGAUCAGUCACACUGGAACUGAGACACGGUCCAGACUCCUACGGGAGGCAGCAGUGGGGAAUAUUGGACAAUGGGCGAAAGCCUGAUCCAGCCAUGCCGCGUGUGUGAAGAAGGUCUUCGGAUUGUAAAGCACUUUAAGUUGGGAGGAAGGGCAGUUACCUAAUACGUGAUUGUUUUGACGUUACCGACAGAAUAAGCACCGGCUAACUCUGUGCCAGCAGCCGCGGUAAUACAGAGGGUGCAAGCGUUAAUCGGAAUUACUGGGCGUAAAGCGCGCGUAGGUGGUUUGUUAAGUUGGAUGUGAAAUCCCCGGGCUCAACCUGGGAACUGCAUUCAAAACUGACUGACUAGAGUAUGGUAGAGGGUGGUGGAAUUUCCUGUGUAGCGGUGAAAUGCGUAGAUAUAGGAAGGAACACCAGUGGCGAAGGCGACCACCUGGACUAAUACUGACACUGAGGUC